rnacentral:rRNA from 1 species
UACAGAGGUCUCAAGCGUUGCUCGGAAUCACUGGGCGUAAAGGGCGCGUAGGCGGGAUGGCAAGUCGGUCGUGAAAUCCUUCGGCUCAACCGAAGAACGUCGGCCGAUACUGCCGUUCUUGAGGGAUGCGGAGGAGAUUGGAAUUCCCGGUGUAGCGGUGAAAUGUGUAGAGAUCGGGAGGAACACCGGUGGCGAAGGCGGGUCUCUGGGCAUCUCCUGACGCUGAGGCGCGAAAGCGUGGGGAGCAAACGGG